AUACAAAACCGGGAAAAAGGUCAUGACCCCGAAACCAUUAAUCGUUUCUUUCUGAAGUUUAAAAGAACACAAAGAUGUAAGGUGAUAAUGCGAAUUUCAUCAAUAUCAAGGUUGAAAUAACCACCAAAAAAAUAUUAAGUAUAACAAGUUCAUUCAGUGGAAAGUUUUACACAAUUGUACUGGUGAUUUUAGAUAUUUUAAGGUUAAAGGUGUAAAAGAAAAAAAGCAGACAGUGCCCUCCACUUAAGUGACAAUAUAAAACCAGAAACAAUAUAGCUGAUUCCAAACCACCUUGACAAUAUGACAUGCAGAAAAUCAUUCAUAUAAUUAUCUAAUCGUCAUUUAAGUCCAAAAAGCAAAUGCACCAACAUUUCAGAAAAGUAGUUUACACAAAAAGGGUUAAUGUUUUCCGUUGCCAAUAAUUUUAGAUCCCAUAUGAACAUAAAAAUAAAUGUAAGAAGACAAAUUAGCUAAGAAAUUCAAAAACCACAGCAAAGUUCAUAUUGUUUGUGUGAUCAAAUGGAAACUUCUGACUCAAAAGCUGACAACAUUACCUAGCAGCACUCCACUGAACUGAAACAUGCCUAGUUUGACUCAUAGUACACAAAAAUUUAAUUGGUCUUUAAAAGGAAGGAAAGAGAGAAAAACCAAAACGAACCAAAACCGGACCAACAAAACAAGAUAGGUACGAGGUUGUCAUAAAUUUAAAUAAAAUAAA